rnacentral:lncRNA from 12 species
GUGAAGGUAAAGGGUCUGAGAGGCCACAGGCAUGAACCUGGGGAUCAGAGAAACCAGCACCCAGCCCAAAGCCUUCGCGGAGAGGCUGCAGAGCUGUCUGCACUGCACCAAGCACCGCUCUCAGCAGAGGGGCUGUCCUGGGUUGAUGUUAUGUCUAGCUCCUCUCCCUGCCCCCCCCCGCUAUCUGCUGCCGUGGUGGCUCCGGCCCCUCCUCCCUGCUGCUGCUGCUUUUGGCCGCUGGCUGCUCGCUGCUGCUUGCUGCUUGCCCCGGCUUUUGCUGCUGCUGCCCCCUCCCCAACCCGGCUUUUGCUGCUGUGCUGCUUCGCUGCUGGCUCCCUUCUUUCUCUCUCUUCUUCCCCUCCCUACCCCUCGACCCCCCUGAAGAUCAGCACCGGCUCCAGAAGGACGGAUCUGGGUCCCAGAAACUCCCUCUGGACGCCUGCCCAAGAAGCUCUCUGCCCUUCCCAGCAAGAGGAUCGUCUCCCAAUCGGUGAAAACUGUUUCUGUCAUCUGGGUCUGUUGCUGGGAAGUGUUUUUUUUCUUGUAAUUUGUCAAUAAAACAAGUUUUUUCCACUUUUCCCCUGAGAAGAAUUCUUUCCUAGCUUGGUGAAGGAAGGAAUUGUGGGGGAUAUACUUUCUGGGGGGCCCUUUGGAGGUCUUUCCCCAGAUUUGUCCUAAACUGGGACAGGGGCACCUCGCCAGGCCGUGCUUGGGGCACACACAUCUGGGCAGUUCUG